AAAAUACAACACAUGAAGGGUACAUUUGUCAUUUUGCUCAUCAACAAACCUCCCACACUUUCUUUUAUUUUUUUUCUGUUUCUUUACCAUUAUCAGGAAGAGAAAGAAGAACAACUUGCUCUUCACCAUUCACCACCCUUCUUCUCCCUCUCUCUGUCAAACCCCUCUUCUCCCUCCACCACCAUUCAUUGAUGCCACCGAUCUCCCACUACAAGAAAAUAUAGAGAUAGCGACAGUCAAUUUGAGGCGCUAUCAAGGGAACCGCCACCGCUCUGGUCAAUACCGACUAUUAUUGCGGCGUUCAUUCAACUGCCUAUGCUGGUUGUAAAUUUCGGCGGUUUCGUGUGUAUUGCGGCGGCGGUAUUAGUGUGUACAGCGGCGGCUAGAUUAGGAAUGAGUGUUGGUUCAAAUUGUUCACUGUUUUCGAUCUGAGUUCGUUUUCACUACAUCACUCACGUUUCGAUUCGCGUUUCCUUCAAGCUUUAGAUUCACGAUUCACAAUUUACCUUCAAUCAAGCUUCAAAAUCCAGGGCUGUGAUGCUUCACUGCUGUUGGAGGAUCGAAACAGUUCCUAUGAGAAACAGGCUGUUCCAAAUCAGACUUUGAAAGGUUUUGACAAAAUUGACUUAAUUAAGGAGGAAGUGGACCAAGCAUGUCCUCGUUUAGUGCUUUUGCAGCAUGAUAAUAUGAUAUUAACUAUUAAGUUUUACAUUAUAUGGAGUUUUGAUUUGCUCGCACAAUAUGCCAAUCACUAAACUAGUUUUAUUAAAAUUUUGCUUGGUUAUAUAAACUACCGUGCUUGGUCUAACCAGGGUUUGUGGGUUUGACACGAUAGAAGAUAAGCAGGUGCCUAAAUUUGGCAUUUUAUAUUCAAAUAGAAGAUAAGCAGAACUCAUGAAGUAACUUCUUAAUGUUCAUUGAUGUUUAAAGGACAAUGAACUAUGCAAACCUUCCUUUAUUUUCAUUUACAUGGAAUAUUAUCAAUGGCACUGAGGUGAAUAACCCGGCUAGGCAUUGGAUAAAGCAGAGAGGGGUUUUACUGCUAUAUGCCAUUGGUGGCCAUAUGCAUCAUAUUUCCAGUAUAUUGUAGAUAGUUUGAAAAAGUUUCGUUGAAAAAUUUUAUGAGCUGCAUUUUAUUCUACAUGAAGCCUUGUUCACUUGACAAUAAAAUGCAGGCCAGAAGACUAAAAGAUUCCAUAUCACAAAUAGAUACCAAACUUGAAGAAAUAAAGGUAUCUGAACAAUCAGACCCACGUCACCAGGUUUCCCUUGUUGUCCAUCCAAUGCCGCAGGCUUUGGAAGCUGCCUUGGUACAUUACGAUGCUGACGAUAAGAAAAGAAAUGCUAAAGGGCCAAAGCCAGAUGGUUAUGUUUAGGAGAAUGUAAUAUAUUUUGUUGGACUGAAAGCAGUAGCAAGUGAAAGUGUGCAGCAACCACUACUCUGCUAUGACAACUUGAUCAGGACAAUUUUUCUAUUCGAAGAAGGAUGUUGUGUUUUCAAGGCUUACUGACUUUGAUUGGCGUUGAUUACGGCGUUGGGAAGAGUACUCUAUUGUUGCAGACAAAGGGCAGUAGGAAGCAAGUGGUAUAGACAUGAUCGUGAGAGAAGGGGAUUGAGAGAAUCUUAAGCUAUUCAUGCAUCUGAUGGCCAUGCUGAACUGGUCUUGUCAAUGUAGGAACAGCAGUACAACACCAAAGGGGAGCAGCUAAUGGAAUUUCCAUGACAGCUAUGUUUCUAUUCAAAGCUAUUGGCCCUGCUGCUGGUGGUACAAUGCACAAAUAAACUUCAAUAUUGAGGAUGGUCCAUUAUUAUGACAAAGUGCAUGUGCUUGGGAGGCCAUUAAUACCCUGUGGAAAUCGAGCAUGGUCCAUUAUAUAUUUUCUUUCUUCUUGAACUUCUCCUUUGAAAGUUUGAUUUAUGCUCAGAACUUCUCCUGUGGAAGUUUGAGGAAAGGAAUUUUCAUUGCUGAAGCAAUUUUCAUCUUUGCAACCAUGAUUCUUAAAGUAUACUACUACAUGUACUUCACAAAGGCAACCACAACUCCACUUUCUCGGACGACUAACAGGGUUAGUUCGUCAGUUGGAAUGAUUGGAUAUGCAUGAUGAAUCAUGAAAGGGUAACAAAUUUUGAGUAUUCAUUUCAAUGGAUGUCAUUUCUCUAUGAAAUAACUACAUGGUAAAAUAGUGGUUUUUACUUUGUUUUUUGCUUAGUUAACUAGUGCUUAUAAUGCUCUGAUGGAUGUUAAACUCAAAAGCAAGUUAUUAUACUAUUAUAUUUAAGUUUAGGUGAAGGGGAUGUACUAAACUAAAUUUUGGAAGCAUGUGUCACAUGCAAUGAGGUUUCAGAUAAACUUUACAUUGUAUUUUUUACUAUUAAUUAAUUAUUUGUCUGAGUAUUUUUUUU